rnacentral:rRNA from 1 species
AUUGAACGCUGGCGGCAGGCCUAACACAUGCAAGUCGAACGGUAACAGGAAGAAGCUUGCUUCUUUGCUGACGAGUGGCGGACGGGUGAGUAAUGUCUGGGAAACUGCCUGAUGGAGGGGGAUAACUACUGGAAACGGUAGCUAAUACCGCAUAACGUCGCAAGACCAAAGAGGGGGACCUUCUGGCCUCUUGCCAUCGGAUGUGCCCAGAUGGGAUUAGCUAGUAGGUGGGGUAACGGCUCACCUAGGCGACGAUCCCUAGCUGAUCUGAGAGGAUGACUGGCGACACGGUAACAGUAACACGCUCCAGACUCCGAUGAGAAGCAGCAGUGGGGGAGAUUGGACAAUGGGCGCAAGCCUGAUGCAGCCAGGCCGAGUGUAUGAAGAAGGCCUUCGGGUUGGAAAGUACUUUCUGCGGGGAGGAAGGGAGCAAAGUUAAUACCUUUGCUCAUUGACGUUACCCGCAGAAGAAGCACCGGCUAACUCCGUG